AUGUCUUCUCAGGAAUCAGUUGGGGAGAGCCGGGUGUCUCACCCAACGCCAGGUCCAGGAGCAAAUAGCGAUGCCUAUCACUUUGGACCGUCAACAGAGGACGAGAUGGAGGUUGAUUUGAAAAGGAUAGAUGCCAUGGAGGAAGAUCAAGAAGUUACCUCCCGCCUCCAAGCAGAAUUCACUAUGGGGGAACUACCUAGCCUGGUUGUCCCUACUUUGGUCACUCCUUUCAACUCCAGAUUUCUGUCUUAUGAAAAUAUGAAAAAGAGUUUCACUUGUUCUCCAGAAGCUAUGCAACAUCCUUGGGUAAAAGGAGCUUUGUCUGUCACGGGCAAUCUCCGUAAAGAAAAUAUGGACCUCAAACAACAAGUCAAUAAGCUCGAGGAGGAGAACCGUAUCCUGAAGGGCAUAAUCGCCAAGAAGAUCAUAACACCAACCGUGAAGAAGGAGAGAUAA
rnacentral:rRNA from 1 species